rnacentral:lncRNA from 1 species
GUGGAAGAGGACAGAGUUAGUUUCCUGGGAUUUGGAAGGUGUGGUGAGCGCGAUGGCUUUUCACCCUAGCGCGGAUGAGACGCUGUCGAUACGGCAUGGAUUCAGGUGUGUUCCUGAGAAUGGAGUUAAAGUGGAGGAAGUUAGUCAGUGAACAGGUAGGAGCUGAAUUUAUACAUUCCGCUUCCAGAAUGAACAAAGCUGUGGUUGUGUUCAUGAAAAGAGCAAAUUUGGUUGGUAGGCUAAUUGCUAGUGGAAUAUUUGUAAGGGAUGUGUUGGUGCCAGUUUCACCUCUCUCUACCCCUUCGACAAGGGUGGUAGUUGCAAAUUUGCCUCCGUUUAUUACGGAUGAUCAAAUCAGGAAAGAGCUGAGUGGUUUUGGUAAGUUUGCUAGUGGGUUUCGUGUACUGUCGGCAGGUUUUCAGACAGAUGCCGUUAAGCACGUUGUUUCAUUCUGGAGGCAAGUGUUUAUGUUUCUGAACAACAAUGAGCAACAGCUAAAUGUGCAUUUUAAAGUGAGGCAUGGGGAGGGGCUCUAUGCAGGGUUUGCCAGCACAGAUAGUCUACGGUGUUUUGAGUGUGGGGAUUUGGGGCAUAAGAGCUUUGUGUGCCCACAUAAAGGGCAUAGACAAGGUGAGGGUACAAGCGCCCCCGGUGGGGGAAAUCGAGGUCAACGUGAAGGGGACAAUGAGACGCAGGUAGCAGAGGCUGGGCAUAGUCAUGCCAGUGAUGGUGGUGUAGAUGAGUCUGGGCCUAGUCAUGCCAUGGAUGGUGGUGUAGAUGAGGCUGGGUCUAGUCAUGCUAUGGAUGGCGGUGUAGAUGAGGCUGGGUCUAGUCAGGUGAUGGAUGGUGGUGUAGAUGAGGCUGGGUCUAGUCAUGCUACAGAUGGCGGUGUAGAUGAGGCUGGGUCUAGUCAGGCUAUAGAUGGUGGUGUAGAUGAGGCUGGGUCUAGUCAGGCUAGAGAUGGUGGUGUAGAUGAGGCUGGGUCUAGUCAGGUUAUGGAUGGUGGUGUAGAUGAGGCUGGGUCUAGUCAUGCUACAGAUGGUGGUGUAGAUGAGGCUGGGUCUAGUCAUGCCAUGGAUGGUGGUGUAGAUGAGGCUGGGUCUAGUCAUGCUACAGAUGGUGGUGUAGAUGAGGCUGGGUCUAGUCAUGCUAGAGAUGGUGGUGUAGAUGAGGCUGGGUUUAGUCAUGUUAUAGAUGGUGGUGUAGAUGAGGCUGGGUCUAGUCAUGCCAUGGAUGGUGGUGUAGAUGAUGCUGGGUCUAGUCAUGCUAGAGAUGGUGGUAUAGAUGAGGCUGGGUCUAGUCAGGUUAUAGAUGGUGGUGUAGAUGAGGCUGGGUCUAGUCAUGCUAGAGAUGGUGGUGUAGAUGAGGCUGGGUUUAGUCAUGUUAUAGAUGGUGGUGUAGAUGAGGCUGGGUCUAGUCAGGUUAUAGAUGGUGGUGUAGAUGAUGCUGGGUCUAGUCAUGCCAUGGAUGGUGGUGUAGAUGAGGCUGGGUCUAGUCAGGUUAUGGAUGGUGGUGUAGAUGAGGCUGGGUCUAGUCAGGUUAUGGAUGGUGGUGUAGAUGAGGCUGGGUCUAGUCAGGCUAGAGAUGGUGGUGUAGAUGAGGCUGGGUCUAGUCAGGUUAUGGAUGGUGGUGUAGAUGAGGCUGGGUCUAGUCAUGCUACAGAUGGUGGUGUAGAUUAGGCUGGGUCUAGUCAUGCCAUGGAUGGUGGUGUAGAUGAGGCUGGGUCUAGUCAUGCUACAGAUGGUGGUGUAGAUGAGGCUGGGUCUAGUCAUGCUAGAGAUGGUGGUGUAGAUGAGGCUGGGUUUAGUCAUGUUAUAGAUGGUGGUGUAGAUGAGGCUGGGUCUAGUCAGGUUAUAGAUGGUGGUGUAGAUGAUGCUGGGUCUAGUCAUGCUAGAGAUGGUGGUAUAGAUGAGGCUGGGUCUAGUCAGGUUAUAGAUGGUGGUGUAGAUGAGGCUGGGUCUAGUCAUGCUAGAGAUGGUGGUGUAGAUGAGGCUGGGUUUAGUCAUGUUAUAGAUGGUGGUGUAGAUGAGGCUGGGUCUAGUCAGGUUAUAGAUGGUGGUGUAGAUGAUGCUGGGUCUAGUCAUGCCAUGGAUGGUAGUGUAGAUGACGCUGGGUCUAGUCAGGUUAUAGAUGGUGGUGUAGAUGAUGCUGGGUCUAGUCAUGCCAUGGAUGGUAGUGUAGAUGAGGCUGGGUCUAGUCAGGUUAUAGAUGGUGGUGUAGAUGAUGCUGGGUCUAGUCAUGCCAUGGAUGGUAGUGUAGAUGAGGCUGGGUCUAGUCAGGUUAUAGAUGGUGGUGUAGAUGAGGCUGGGUCUAGUCAGGUUAUAGAUGGUGGUGUAGAUGAGGCUGGGUCUAGUCAGGUUAUGGAUGGUGGUGUAGAUGAGGCUGGGUCUAGUCAGGUUAUGGAUGGUGGUGUAGAUGAGGCUGGGUCUAGUCAGGUUAUGGAUGUAGUGUAGAUGAGGCUGGGUCUAGUCAGGUUAUAGAUGGUGGUGUAGAUGAUGCUGGGUCUAGUCAGGUUAUGCUAGUGGAUGAGGAGAGUAUAGUGGGGAAGUGUAAGAAACUAGGGGGGAGGAGGAGGGUGUCAAGAGAAAAAGGGUGUGGUCAAAGGCACCAUGGAACCUUUGCCUGGUGCUGGGGGAGGCCCUGACUAGAGAGGAAGGGCAGGUGGUCAGGAUUGGAGAUGGAGAUGAGGAGGAGGAAAGUGAGUCUGAGGAAGAGGAUGAUGAGGAGGCCUUUUCUUCAGACUCCUCUUCAAUGGGUCCGGAGCUGACAGCCAGUCAAGCAGAGGGGUCAAAGUAUACGGUGAGAGAACUGACAAGGUUCCUGAAUGAGACCAAGGUGGAAAAAGUUAAUCUUGAGGAUUUUUUUUCUGAUCCGAGAAAGUUUGUAAGAUCAGUACAACAUGCUAUGACAAAUGAGGGGCAUGGUGUCCUCUCACCCAGGAAACGGUUUAGGUUGAGGAAGUGGGUCACAACAGUGCGUAAGGGUCUACCUUCAGACACUGUUUAGAUGUAUAGCUUCUUUCUGGCAAUGUGGUUUUUUGAGCUUUGCUAUUGGUCUCUUUCUUUGCUGGCUUUUCUCCCACUUCUUAUGGAGACUCUUCGGGUAGGAUCGCUCAAUAUAAAUGGCGCCAGAGAUGCGGGAAAGAGGAGCGUGCUGGGUGAAUAUGUGAAACCAAAAAAAAGUACAGGUAUUGUUUCUGCAGGAGACGCAUAGUGAUAUGGUGAAUGAAGUCGAUUGGGGGCUCUGGUGGAAAGGGGCAAGUGUGUUGAGCCAUGGGACAAAUCUUAGUGCAGGGGUGGCAGUCCUUUUUGUACCGGGUCUAUCUGUAAAAAUUUGCUCCUCAAAAUUGGGGUGUAGGGUAGGCUGGUUGUUGUAAAAGCAGAAAUUAACAACAGGUGUUUUGUCCUUAUAAAUGUGUAUGCCCCUAACACAGGGAGAGAGAUGGUGCUUCUGUUUGGGUGUCUUAGACAGGAACACUCUAAUUUUUGGUGACUUUAAUAUUCACAUGAAAGUCCACAGACCCACUCCAAAAGGCUUGCGGAGCCAUCAUCGACUCAGUGGGUUUUGUCCAACAUGUCUCUGGACCUACUCACUGCCACAGUGGAUCUUAAUGUUUUUCCUCAUAAUCCUGGACUAUCGGACCACCAUUUUAUUACGUUUGCAAUCGCAACAAAUAAUCUGCUCAGACCCCAACCAAGGAGCAUCAAAAGUCGUGCUAUAAAUUCUCAG